rfam:Streptomyces sp. 13-12-16 NODE_79_length_36874_cov_74.735504, whole genome shotgun sequence.
GGGAGCGUCGAUCCGUACACGGUCUUGAAAACCGUCGUGGCAGCGAUGUCACCGUGGGUUCAAAUCCCACCGCCUCCG